rnacentral:rRNA from 1 species
GUUGAACGCUGGCGGCAGGCCUAACACAUGCAAGUCGAGCGGAUGAAGCGAGCUUGCUCCUGGCUUCAGUGGCGGACGGGUGAGUAAUGCCUAGGAAUCUGCCUGGUAGUAGGGAUAACGUCCGGAAACGGGCGCUAAUACCGCAUACGUCCGGAGGGAGGCAGUGGGGGAUCUUCUGACCUCCCGCUAUCAGUUGAGCCUAGGUCGGGUUAGCUAGUUGGUGGGGUAAAGGCCUACCAAGGCGACGAUCCGAAACUGGUCUGCGAGGAUGAUCAGUGACACUGGAACUGCGCCACGGUCCAGACUCCUAAGGGACGGAGCAGUAGGGAAGAUUGGACAAUGGGCGAAAACCUGAUCCAUCCAUGCCGCGUGUGUGAAAGAGGUCUUCGGAUUGUAAAGCACUUUAAGUUGGGAGGAAGGGCAGUAAGUUAAUACCUAGCUGUUUUGACGUUACCAACAAAAUAAGCACCGGCUAACUUCGUG